rnacentral:rRNA from 1 species
CAGACCCUUUUAGCGGCGGGCUGGUGAGUAACGCGUGGGUGACCUACCUUGAGGACAGGGAUAGCCGUUAGAAAUAGCGGGUAAUACCUGAUACGAUGGAGUUGUUAUGACAGCUUCAGGGAAAGAUGCUAAGGCAUCGCCUUGAGAUGGGCCCGCGUCCCAUUAGCUAGUUGGUGGUGUAACGGACUACCAAGGCGAAGAUGGGUAGCCGGCCUGAGAGGGUGAACGGCACACUGGGACUGAGAUACGGCCCAGACUCCUACGGGAGGCAGCAGCUAAGAAUAUUCCGCAAUGGACGAAAGUCUGACGGAGCGACGCCGCGUGGAUGAGGAAGGCCGAAAGGUUGUAAAAUCCUUUUGCAGACGAAGAAUAAGUGUAGGAGGGAAUGCCUGCAUGAUGACGUUAGUCUGCGAAUAAGCCCCGGACUAAUUACGUGC